AAGCGUUAUCCGGAAUUAUUAGGCGUAAAGAGCUGGUAGGCGGUUUGUCGCGUCGGCCGUGUAAGUCCGGGGCUCAACUCCGGAUUUGCGGUGGGUACUGGCAGACUAGAGUGAUGUAUGGGAGACUGGAAUUCCUGGUGUAGCGGUGAAAUGCGCAGAUAUCAGGAGGAACACCGAUGGGGAAGGCAGGUCUCUGGGCAUUAACCGACGCUGAGGAGCGAAAGCAUGCGGAGCGAACAGGAUUAGAUACCCUGGUAGUCCAUGCCGUAAUCGCUGGGCACUAGGUGUGGGGGACAUUCCACGUUUUCCGCGCCGUAGCUAACGCAUUAAGUGCCCCGCCUGGGGAGUACGGCCGCAAGGCUAAACCUCAAAGGAAUUGACGGGGGCCCGCACAAGCGGCGGAGCAUGCGGAUUAAUUCGAUGCAACGCGAAGAACCUUGCCAAGGCUUGACAUGGACUGGAAAUACCUGGAAACAGGUGCCCCGCUUGCGGUCGGUUCACAGGUGCUGCAUGGUUGUCGUCAGCUCGUGUCGUGAGAUGUUGGGUUAAGUCCCGCAACGAGCGCAACCCUCGUUCUAUGUCGCCAGCGCGUUAUGGCGGGGACUCAUAGGAGACUGCCGGGGUCAACUCGGAGGAAGGUGGGGACGACGUCAAAUCCUCAUGCCCCUUAUCUCUUGGGCUUCACGCAUGCUACAAUGGCCGGUACAAAGGGUUGGGAUACUCUGAGGUGGAGCUAAUCCCAAAAACCCGGUCUCAGUUCGGAUUGGGGUCUGCA
rnacentral:rRNA from 1 species